AGAGUUUGAUCCUGGCUCAGAUUGAACGCUGGCGGUAUGCUUAACACAUGCAAGUCGAACGGAAACGAAACUAGCUUGCUAGUAGGCGUCGAGUGGCGGACGGGUGAGUAACGCGUAGGAAUCUGCCUGAUAGUGGGGGAUAGCCCGAAGAAAUUCGGAUUAAUACCGCAUAAUCUAUUCGUAGUAAAGUGGGGGACUUUCGAGCCUCACGCUAUCAGAUGAGCCUGCGUAAGAUUAGCUUGUUGGUAGGGUAAAAGCCUACCAAGGCAACGAUCUUUAGCUGGUUUGAGAGGAUGAUCAGCCACAUCGGGACUGAGACACGGCCCGAACUCCUACGGGAGGCAGCAGUGGGGAAUAUUGGACAAUGGGGGCAACCCUGAUCCAGCAAUACCGCGUGUGUGAAGAAGGCCUGAGGGUUGUAAAGCACUUUCAAUUGUGAAGAAAAGUCAACGGUUAAUAACCGUUGACCUUGACGUUAACUUUAGAAGAAGCACCGGCUAACUCCGUGCCAGCAGCCGCGGUAAUACGGAGGGUGCAAGCGUUAAUCGGAAUUACUGGGCGUAAAGCGUGCGUAGGCGGUUUAUUAAGUCAGAUGUGAAAGCCCCGGGCUUAACCUGGGAACUGCAUUUGAAACUGGUCAACUAGAGUAUGGUAGAGGAAAGUGGAAUUUCUGGUGUAGCGGUGAAAUGCGUAGAUAUCAGAAGGAACAUCAAUGGCGAAGGCAGCUUUCUGGACCAAUACUGACGCUGAGGUACGAAAGCGUGGGUAGCAAACAGGAUUAGAUACCCUGGUAGUCCACGCCGUAAACGAUGAUAACUAGCCGUUGGGGGGAUUUACCCCUUAGUGGCGAAGCUAACGCGUUAAGUUAUCCGCCUGGGGAGUACGGCCGCAAGGCUAAAACUCAAAGGAAUUGACGGGGACCCGCACAAGCGGUGGAGCAUGUGGUUUAAUUCGAUGCAACGCGAAGAACCUUACCUGGUCUUGACAUCCUGCGAACUUUCUAGAAAUAGAUUGGUGCCUUCGGGAACGCAGUGACAGGUGCUGCAUGGCUGUCGUCAGCUCGUGUCGUGAGAUGUUGGGUUAAGUCCCGUAACGAGCGCAACCCCUAUCCUUAUUUGCCAGCACAUUAUGGUGGGAACUAUAAGGAGACUGCCGGUGAUAAACCGGAGGAAGGCGGGGACGACGUCAAGUCAUCAUGGCCCUUACGACCAGGGCUACACACGUGCUACAAUGGGAAGGACAAAGAGCCGCGAAGCCGCGAGGUGUAGCUAAUCUCAUAAAUCUUUUCGUAGUCCGGAUUGGAGUCUGCAACUCGACUCCAUGAAGUCGGAAUCGCUAGUAAUCGUAGAUCAGAAUGCUACGGUGAAUACGUUCCCGGGUCUUGUACACACCGCCCGUCAUACCAUGGGAGUGGGUUGCACCAGAAGUGGCUAGUCUAACUUUGUGAGGACGGUCACCACGGUGUGAUUCAUGACUGGGGUAAAGUCGUAACAAGGUAACC
rnacentral:rRNA from 1 species